ACACGCCCUCCUCCCUUUUCCCGACACCAAAGUAAACAAGACUUUGGGGAGAAGAAGAGAAUCCGUGCAACGCGAUAUAAUCUUCCUAAUCCUUCUUCUCCUCCUCCGUUCCACUCUCCUUCCUUCCUUCCAUUUUGAUGGCGAUCCACGUCCAGCUCGCGGAGGCCGCGCUGCGGAACCGGCUCGGCCUCGGAGUCGUCGCCGCCCUCGUAGCCGCUGGAAUCGGCCUCCUUAGCGUCGGCCCGAGCUUCUCCGCCGUCGCAGCCUUCUUCUGGCCGCUCCUCCUCUCCACCGGCUUCCUCCUCGUCGCCGUCGCCGUCAUCCUCCGCAUUUCUCCGCCACCCCCGCCGGAUCAGGGCCCCUCGGGGGAGGACCUCAUCGACUACGUCUCCGGACGCGGCGGCGCUCAGAUCGGGUACGGAGACGCGGACGACGAGGGUGGGGAGCAGCGGCGGGAGAACUCCUGAGGGCGACGCGAGCCGCAAAGGGGGCAAAGGCCGAUCCCGGAGGUUGCGGUGCUGCGCAGGAACUGGUUAGUGAGGAGUAGUUCCGCUUACAUGGAGGGCUACGAUUGGGUCAAUAGAAUAAUAAGGAGGCAUUUUGGAUGCAGUAAUCCACCACAUCUCCACCUGAUGACCUAACCCUACUACUACCACCGCCAUCACUCCACCACACUGCCAACAACCUCCAUGCCAUGGACCUCCACCUCUGCCUCUGCCUCUGCCCCA